GAUGAACGCUGGCGGCGUGCCUAAUACAUGCAAGUCGAGCGAGCGGCGGACGGGUGAGUAAUGUCUGUGAAACUUCCUGCUGGCGGGGGAUAACUACUGGAAACGGUAGCUAUUACCGCAUACCAUCAGAUGUGCCCAGAUGGGAUUAGCUAGUAGGUGGGGUAAUGGCUCACCUAGGCGACGAUCCCUAGCUGGUCUGAGAGGAUGACCAGCCACACUGGAACUGAGACACGGUCCAGACUCCUACGGGAGGCAGCAGUGGGGAAUAUUGCACAAUGGGGGAAAGCCUGAUGCAGCCAUGCCGCGUGUGUGAAGAAGGCCUUCGGGUUGUAAAGCACUUUCAGCGAGGAGGCGUUACUCGCAGAAGAAGCACCGGCUAACUCCGUGCCAGCAGCCGCGGUAAUUC
rnacentral:rRNA from 1 species